rnacentral:tRNA from 1 species
GGGAGUAGCUCAGUUGGUAGAGCAUCAGCCUUCCAAGCUGAGGGUCGCCGGUUCGAACCCGGUCUCC